rnacentral:tRNA from 1 species
UAAAUAUCUAAAUUUUAAGUAUAUCAUUUACAAUGAUAAGAUGUUUUUAAUAAACUUUAUUUAAGUUCAUAAUAUUAAUAAUUUUUUUUUUAAU